GGGGAAGAUGGAGAGAAGAUGGAGGCCAUUACCUGAAGGAGAAGAUGCCUGGGGACCCCCGAUCGACGCUGGAGACUGCUGGAUACUGGCUCAAAGCAUAAGAAUCGGCUGGCAAAGUGAGGAACCAAUGAUGUCCAGGCAUCAAACUUUAGAGUGGAAUAUGUAGCUGGAAGAAGACGUCUCCUGUAGGAAGACCCGGGGAACCUCGGUUAAGUCAGAAGAUCCACAGGAAUCCUCAGAGAAAGUUGGAUGUCAGAGGUUGGGGCUCCUUGCUAGAAAUCAUAUCAAGGACCAAAAGUACAGAGAGGAUAAAAAAAUAAGAAAGGUUUCAUUGUAGGCUAAAGUAUGGACAACACAUUUCAAAUGUCCAGCUCUCUUUGUCAGGUCCACAGUAUCAACUGGUCCCACCGAAAUUGGCAGGUUUGGCCGACUGUUCACAUAUGUGUAUGGGGCCUUUAGGCAUUGAUUUAUAAAGUUGUUCACUUUCUGUACACAUUUAACAUCCAGCACCUUAUAGACUAAGAUAAUAUGCCUCAUAAAAGGCAUAAAUAGAGAACUGAAAGACCAUUUCAUGUAACGUUUUUAUGAGGAUGUUAUAUAUUGUUGAGACUAAUCUGGUUCAUCAUCUAUAUUUCCUGUAUUAAUUGUUGAAAUGCUCACGUUUUACUGUUGAGGUCAGUCUGCCACAUUGCAAACCUGUUUUCCACUGGCCCCGGUUAUGCUGUAUAUCACAAGUGAAGGAUUUUAUAUUAUAACAUUUUCGAAGUCUCACUUCCGGCUCCUCUGCUGCACAGAGAGAACUUCUCAUUUCCUCAAGCCAGCGUCUGAGAUCAAUAGAGAUUAGAAAAAGUCUAGUGUGUAACAUAGCUAUAAUCUAAGAACAAGUAAGCAAUCUGUGAUUUACUGAAACUGAACUUUUUUCUCCUGUAUUAAGGAUACCCUGCUACUCCCUUCUGCAAACCAUCUUCUGCAACUCUUCAGAAGUUACGACAGGGCUGGGUUAUUGUAACCCCACAGAGCAUCUUCCUGAUACAAGACUUUUCCUAUGCACAAAGGAAAUAAUAUUAUUUAUUUCUUUAGUAAGGGUAUGUUCACACUGCGUAAUUCCGCGCUGUGAACAUUACCUUCAGUGUGAAUGGGUCUUCCGCGAGACCCGUUCACAUUGCGGAAUUUCAGCGGUGGACAAUUCUGCAGCUGAAAUUGUUCAGCGUAAAGAAAGAGCAUGUCCUUUCUUUGCAUGGAAUUCCGCGAGCACUGCAUAGCAGUCAAAGGUGAAGGCGCAGUGCUGCACGGCCCUACUGCCAAAGUAUUUUCGGCAGCGGCUGCCAGACGGAAGCGGAGAUACCCUAAGAAGGAGACUGUAGUGGGUGGCAGCAGAGCGCAGCCAUCAAGCAGUAAAUGAGCCAUAUCGUCGUCUAUCUCUCUAUCUAAACAAGAGGAUACAGUAGCACAUUGCUAGCGCUAUGUGAAAUAUGACAUGUUGUACUUUGCAAUACUGCUAUAGAGAAAAAUAGAGGUUCUUAGCUUACCAUUUGGCCAAAUAGUGUGUACCUCCCACCACAAUAAGGGGACCUCAUUUGGGACAGACCCUACACUACCUCUCCUAGGCUAGCGAUGAGCCUCAAUAUCUGGGCAUGCAAGGUAGAGCACAUCCCUCACUUAGUAGUUUUUAUUGGUACCAUUUUUGUUUUGAUCGCUUUUUAUAAAAAUUUUUAUGGUAUAUGAAGUGAUCAAAAAUGCACAAUUUUGGACUUUGAUAUUUUUAUAUAUCAUCAACCGUGCUGAUUAACUAACCUUAUAUUUUAAUAGUCUGGACAUUUACGCAGGCGGCGAUACAACAUAUGAUUAUGUUUAUUUUUUAUUACAUUAUUUAAUUUUAUAUUAAAUGGGAUAGGGGUGUGAUUGAAAGGGAUAAAUUCACUUUUAUUAACUCUUUUUUUUAGUCCCCAUGGGGGCUAUAACAUGCAAACUUUCGAUUGUAUACACUGUUCAAUGCUGAGCUUUGGCUUUGUUAUCAUGUUAUCUGCUGCUCUAGCCUGCAAAGCCUGGCUGGGACAUCAGAGCAUCUAUCGGAUGGCGAAGAGGCAGGUAAGGGCCCUCCCACCAUCCACUCAGCUGAGAGCCUCGGGACUCGCCAUUUUGCCGUGGAUGUCCCGAUCAGCUCUGCUGAGCUACCGGCACCUAUAGAUCCCACAUUUAGACACCGAGAUCAACUUUGAUUGCAGUUUUUAAAGGGUUAAUGUUAGACAUCGGCCCGAUCGGCGAUGUUUCAUGGCAAUUUCCAGCGUUAACCGUGGGAUCUGGCUGCUGGUAGAAACCAUAACUCUCCAGGUAUGAAGCGUGCUCAGCUCGUGAACAUGCUUUAAAUUUCGAUAAUGGGACCAGGGCAUACAGGUACACCCUUGGUCCUUAAGUACCAGGACGCAAGGGCAUACCUAUAUUCCCUUGGUUCUUAAGGGGUUAAUGGCACGGGAUACUUUGUAAUAUGAUGAAUUGCACUUUAUUAUGCGUCACUAUAUGCAUGCUGCACAUCAUGUAAUGUUUGCACUAAAAGACUUUUAUGAAUUUAGGUAUUAUGAAAUAAUUAAUGCACUUUGGUAGU